UUGGCCAUGACGUUAAAAAGAUUGAAAGCUUGAAAAAAAUAUAAUGCUUUCAAAAUGAUGAAUUAGGGUCAUUCAGUUCAUAAAGCGAACAAUAAGUAGCAAAAAUAGCCUUGUUGAUUUUGGUCAAAUUGGCUAUCAUAUUUCAAAUAUUCAAUCACAAUAGAGUCCAUGAACGCAUGCUGGUACCCAGAUUAUUGGGCUUUCUAAACAAUAACUUCC
rnacentral:lncRNA from 1 species